GUAGAUAUAGUUUAAUGGUUAGAAUAAUAAAUUGUGAAUUUGAAGAUAAGAGUUCGAUCCUCUUUAUUUACC
rnacentral:tRNA from 5 species